GACGAACGCUGGCGGUGUGCUUAACACAUGCAAGUGGCGCGACGAACCAGAGCUUGCUCUGGGGCAAAGCCGCGAACGGGUGAGUAACACGUGGGUAACCUGCCCCGAUGACUGGGACAACCCGGGGAAACCCGGGCCAAUACCGGACGAUGCAUCCAGGCUUAAGCCUGGAUGGCAAAGGUAGCUUCGGCUACCGCAUUGGGAUGGGCCCGCGGCCUAUCAGCUUGUUGGUGGGGUGAUGGCCUACCAAGGCAACGACGGGUAGCCGGGCUGAGAGGGUGACCGGCCACGCUGGGACGGGGAUACGGCACAGACUCCUACGGGAGGCAGCAGUGGGGAAUAUUGCACAAUGGGCGCAAGCCUGAUGCAGCGACGCCGCGUGAGGGAUGACGGCCUUCGGGUUGUAAACCUCUUUCAGCACCGACGAAGCGCAAGUGACGGUAGGUGCAGAAGAAGGACCGGCCAACUACGUGCCAGCCGCCGCCGUAA
rnacentral:rRNA from 1 species